rnacentral:rRNA from 1 species
UACGGAGGAUCCAAGCGUUAUCCGGAUUUAUUGGGUUUAAAGGGUGCGUAGGCGGAUUGAUAAGUUAGAGGUGAAAUGUCCGAGCUCAACUCGGGAACUGCCUCUAAUACUGUUGAUCUAGAGAGUAGAUGCGGUAGGCGGAACGUAUGGUGUAGCGGUGAAAUGCUUAGAGAUCAUACAGAACACCGAUUGCGAAGGCAGCUUACCAAUCUAUAUCUGACGUUGAGGCACGAAAGCGUGGGGAGCAAACAGG